UUAUUAUUACAAUGUGAAUAUACAACUGUUCUAUUACGUUAUGCGCACCAUGUAAAUCAAAACCCAUUACUAUUACCAACACGUAAAUUUUAGUAGGAUAUUAUUAUCGGCAAAUGGCAGGGCCAAGUGGGUUCUGUAUGUUUUUGCACUUUUAAGUUUUUUGCUAGAAUAUUCUGUUGCUUGCCAGUUGCCACUUCCAUCUCAGAGUGUCUCCUGGCUAAGCAGCUUCUGGAGAGAAGCUCAAGUCUAUCACUUCACAGCGGCAUCUUUCUCUUUGGAACUUUCCUCACUUCCAAAUCGUAAC
rnacentral:lncRNA from 1 species